UGGUAGCAAUAUCAAGGAUGUCUAGUGGCGUAAGGGUGCGUAACACGUGGGCAAUCUGCCGAGAAGUGGGGGAUAGCUCGCCGAAAGGCGAAUUAAUACCGCAUGUGGUUAGUGAAGACAUCUUCACGAUACCAAAGCCGGGGCAACCUGGCGCUUCUUGAUGACCCCGCGGCCUAUCAGCUAGUUGGUGAGGUAACGGCUCACCAAGGCUAUGACGGGUAGCUGGUCUGAGAGGACGACCAGCCACACUGGAACUGAGACACGGUCCAGACACCUACGGGUGGCAGCAGUCGAGAAUUUUUCUCAAUGGGGGAAACCCUGAAGGAGCGACGCCGCGUGGAGGAUGAAGGUCUUCGGAUUGUAAACUCCUGUCAUUUGGGAACAAGUUGCAUCGGUUAACUGCCGAUGCAUUGAUAGUACCAGAAGAGGAAGAGACGGCUAACUCUGUGCCAGCAGCCGCGGUAAUACAGAGGUCUCAAGCGUUGUUCGGAUUCAUUGGGCGUAAAGGGUGCGUAGGUGGCGGGGUAAGUCUGGUGUGAAAUCUCGGGGCUCAACCCCGAAACUGCACUGGAUACUGCCUUGCUUGAGUACUGGAGAGGAGAUUGGAAUUUACGGUGUAGCAGUGAAAUGCGUAGAUAUCGUAAGGAAGACCAGUGGCGAAGGCGAAUCUCUGGACAGUUACUGACACUGAGGCACGAAGGCCAGGGGAGCAAACGGGAUUAGAUACCCCGGUAGUCCUGGCAGUAAACGGUGCGCGUUUGGUGUGGGAGGAUUCGACCCCUUCUGUGCCGGAGCUAACGCGUUAAACGCGCCGCCUGGGGAGUACGGUCGCAAGAUUAAAACUCAAAGAAAUUGACGGGGGCCCGCACAAGCGGUGGAGUAUGUGGCUUAAUUCGAUGCAACG
rnacentral:rRNA from 1 species